rnacentral:rRNA from 1 species
AGUGAACGCUGGCGGCAGGCCUAACACAUGCAAGUCGAACGGCAGCACAAGAGAGCUUGGUCUCUGGGUGGCGAGUGGCGGGCGGGUGAGGCAUGCAUCGGAAUCUGCCCAUUUGUGGGGGAUAUCCUCGGGAAACCGGGACUAAUACCGCAUACGACCUACGGGUGGAAGCAGGGGGGCUUCGUACCUUGCGCAGAUGGAUGAGCCGAUGCCGGAGUCGCUUGUUGGAGGGGUAAAGGCCCAACAAGGCGACGAGCGGUAGAGGGUGUGAGAGGAUGGUGGGCCACACUGGGACUGAGACACGGCCCAUAGUCCUGCGGGAGGGAGCAGUGGGGAACAUGGGGCAAUGGUCGCAAGCCUGAUCCAGCCAGGCCGCGUGUGUUAAGAAGGCCUUCGGGUUGUAAAGCACGUUUGUUGGGAAAGAAAAGCAUCCGGUUAAUACCCGGUUGUCAUGACGGUACCCAAAGAAUAAGCACCGGCUAACUUCGUG